rnacentral:rRNA from 1 species
CGAUUUACUUCGGUAAAGAGCGGCGGACGGGUGAGUAACGCGUGGGUAACCUACCCUGUACACACGGAUAACAUACCGAAAGGUAUGCUAAUACGGGAUAAUAUAUUUGAGAGGCAUCUCUUAAAUAUCAAGGUGAGCCAGUACAGGAUGGACCCGCGUCUGAUUAGUUAGUUGGUAAGGUAACGGCUUACCAAGGCGACGAUCAGUAGCCGACCUGAGAGGG